AGCAACGGACUUCGACCUCCAGCUGUCUUAACUCAUAAGCAUCAACUUCUUCGGUACAAAUGAUUUUUAUAUUGCAAUAAUUUAACCCCUUAAACAAAACUAACACAUUAAUUUAUUUUUAAAAAAAUAACAGUAAAAAAUCUUGACCGUUAAAAAAAAGAAAAAUGAAAAAAAAAAAAAGAAUCUCAGUGAAUAGCAAAAACAAUACUCCUUCCCCAAUCCCCUUUCCUCCAAACCCUCCGCCUUGAACUCUUAUCUCUCCUCCCAAACCCCCCAAUCCUCUCUCUCUACUUUCUCUCUCUAGAAAUUCUCCUCCAUUUUCACCCAAAAUCCAAUUUUGAUCAGGACCCAUUAAUUAAUUUGAAGGUAGGAGAGAGAAAGAGGGAGAGGGGGGCAAAAUUUUCAUAAAAAAAGAUGGAUUCAGAUCAAGGGAAGUUGUUUGUAGGUGGGAUUUCAUGGGAAACAACAGAGGAGAAGCUCAAAGAGUAUUUUGGGCAAUAUGGUGAUGUUUUUCAAGCUAAUAUUAUGAGAGAUAAAGCUACAGGUAGACCUAGAGGUUUUGGCUUUGUUCUUUUUUCAGAUCCUUCUGUUAUUGAUCGUGUUCUUCAGGAUAAACACACCAUUGAUGGCAGACCUGUCGAGGCGAAACGAGCUAUGUCGAGAGAAGAGCAGCAGAAUUCCGGAAGAGCUGGAAGCAACAAUGGUGGUAGAAGUGGAGGUGGAGGGGGAAACUUCAGGACUAAGAAGAUUUUUGUUGGGGGAUUGCCUCCUACUGUAACUGAUGAAGUAUUUAGGGAAUAUUUUGAGAAUUAUGGCCAAGUAACUGAUGUAGUUAUAAUGUAUGAUCAGAACACACGUAGACCUCGAGGUUUUGGAUUCAUUUCUUUUGACAGUGAGGAUGCAGUAGAUAGGGUUUUACAAAAUACCUUUCAUGAUUUGAAUGGUAAGCAAGUUGAGGUGAAGCGUGCUUUACCAAAAGAUGCUAACCCUGGUAUGGGUAGUCGUGGUAGUGGCGGUCUGAAUGCUUUUGAAGGUAGAAUGGAUUCUAAUAGAUAUAUGCAACCUCAGAAUGCUGGAGGUGCAUUUCCACCUUAUGGUUCUUCUGGUUAUGGUGCAGCUGGUUAUGGAUAUGGGCCUGCUAGUGGCAUGGGUUAUGGUGGGUAUGCCGGGUAUGGGGGAGCAAAUCCUGGGUAUGGUGGUCCUGCAAGUGCAGCUUAUGGAAACCCUAAUCUUUCAAAUGCCCAAAGGAGUUCAUGGAAUGCACAGGCUGCCUCUGCUUAUGGUGCAGCUGGGUAUGGAAGUGCAGGUCCUUGGGCUGCUUCUGGUGCAGGAAGUGGACUAACUGGUCAAUCUCCUAGUGGAGCGUCUGGGUAUGGAUAUGGUAAUUAUGGUGGCAGUGAUGGAUAUGGAAGUGUAGGAAAUCGUGCUGGAGGUGCCCCUGGUAGUAAUGCCUCUGCUGGUGGAGAGAUGCAAGGGGGCUAUGGUGAUGCCAAUGGUCAUGGAGGAUAUGGGGCUGGAGGUUAUGGAGCUCAAGUAAAUGGACCUCUUGGUGCUCAGAUGGGUUAUGGUGGUGGAUAUGGUGGGGCUCGAUAAGUGCAGCUGCAGUGGAUUUGCUCCAAGCUGAAUCAUUGAAGCUUGCCCUUCCCAGUGGCAAGGCCCGCAAGGGGAUAGCCUGUUCGGAUCUCAAGCAUACUGUUGGACUGGAGAGCUGCUCGAUUUCUGAAGCAAGGUGGCUACAUGCAGCUUAAAAUCAGUUUCUGCCAGAGCUUUAAAACUUGCUGUCAGUUUUAUUCUGAUGAGAGAUUGCAUUUUGUGAGACUGAUCAACCCAAGCGCGUGCUUUGUGGUUCUAAUCUUCUAUCAAAUUGUGGUGAGCUGAUGGAAAUUUCUAAGCUGAUCUCCAUCUGGUAUGUUGAGUUAAAUUGAGGAUAUAUUCUUCCUUGGUUUAUCCUAUUAGGAAAAUUAGAUAAUCAAAGCUUUUUUUUUUUGUCAUAUAAAAUAGAAAAAGGAGUGUUUUACAUGGUUUAUAAUCCAAGUAUAUAGCUGCUUGUGGCAGUUGAAGUAGGAUACAACCCUUUUCAUCUGAGGAAGUCUCUCAAAAUAGUUGAUUAAUAUUAAUUAGUUUCAUAAGAAACUGCUUUGUCUUAGCGUUUUCUUUUAGUUUUCUGCAGAUUGUUAAUUGUUGAAUCCAUUGGAUCUUCAUGGUGUUUCGGAUCAUCAUAUAUAAUAUAUUGAUGUUUCACAUUA